rnacentral:rRNA from 1 species
UACAGAGGGUGCAAGCGUUGUUCGGAAUUACUGGGCGUAAAGCGCGUGUAGGUGGCGAUGUAAGUCGGGUGUGAAAUCCCUCAGCUUAACUGAGGAAGUGCACUCGAUACUGUGUCGCUUGAGUGUUGGAGGGGAUGGCGGAAUUCCCGGUGUAGAGGUGAAAUUCGUAGAUAUCGGGAGGAACACCUGUGGCGAAGGCGGCCCCCUGGGCCGUACCUGACGCUGAGCCGCGAAGGCGUGGGGAGCGAACGGG